GACGAACGCUGGCGGCGUGCUUAACACAUGCAAGUCGAACGAAGUGUCGAACGGGUGAGUAAUACGUGAGUAACCUGCCCUCCUUUUUGGGAUAAGCCUUGGAAACGGGGUCUAAUACCGAAUAAUGGGGGAUGGGCUCGCGGCCUAUCGGCUUGUUGGUGGGGUGAUGUCCUACCAAGGCGGUGACGGGUAGACGGCCUGAGAUGGUGAAAGGGGACAGUGGAACUGAGAAACGGCAGAGAAGGGGAAGGGAGGGAGCAGGGGGGGAUAUUGGAGAAAGGGCGAAAGCAUGAUGCAGCGACGCCGAGGGGGGGAUGAAGGGUUGCGGGUUGUAAACCUAUUUAGCUAGAGAAGGGGUAGGUGGAGAAGAAGCGCCGGCUAACUACGUGCCAGCAGCCGCGGUAAUUC
rnacentral:rRNA from 1 species